rnacentral:rRNA from 1 species
CAGUCGCCGCGGGAAUACGUAGGUGGCAAGCGUUGUCCGGAAUUAUUGGGCGUAAAGGGCUCGCAGGCGGUUUCUUAAGUCUGAUGUGAAAGCCCCCCGGCUCAACCGGGGAGGGUCAUUGGAAACUGGGAAACUUGAGUGCAGAAGAGGAGAGUGGAAUUCCACGUGUAGCGGUGAAAUGCGUAGAGAUGUGGAGGAACACCAGUGGCGAAGGCGACUCUCUGGUCUGUAACUGACGCUGAGGAGCGAAAGCGUGAGGAGCGAACAGGAUUAGAUACCCGCGUAGUCCCUGUCUCUUAUA